rnacentral:rRNA from 1 species
GACGGAGGGUGCUAGCGUUGUUCGGAAUUACUGGGCGUAAAGGGCUCGUAGGCGGCCAACUAAGUCGGAUGUGAAAUCCCCAGGCUCAACUUGGGAACUGCAUCCGAUACUGGAUGGCUUGAAUUCGGGAGAGGGAUGCAGAAUUCCAGGUGUAGCGGUGAAAUGCGUAGAUAUCUGGAGGAAUACCGGUGGCGAAGGCGGCAUCCUGGACCGACAUUGACGCUGAGGAGCGAAAGCUAGGGGAGCAAACGGG